UAAGUACUCCCUCCGUCCUGAAAUACUUGUCGGAGAAAUGAAUGAAUCUAGACGUAUUUUAGUUAUAGAUACAUCCAAUUUUAUCCAUUUCUCUGACAAGUAUUUCGGGAUGGAGGGAGUAUAUA
rnacentral:pre_miRNA from 1 species